rnacentral:rRNA from 1 species
UGGGGAAUUUUGCGCAAUGGGGGAAACCCUGACGCAGCAACGCCGCGUGAGUGAUGAAGGCCUUCGGGUCGUAAAGCUCUGUCAGAGGGGAAGAAAUGCAGGGGUGCUAAUAUCAUCUUUGCUUGACGGUACCCUCAAAGGAAGCACCGGCUAACUCCGUGCCAGCAGCCGCGGUAAUACGGAGGGUGCGAGCGUUGUUCGGAAUUAUUGGGCGUAAAGCGCGUGUAGGCGGUUUGAUAAGUCUGAUGUGAAAGCCCCGGGCUCAACCUGGGAAGUGCAUUGGAAACUGUCAGACUUGAAUACGGGAGAGAGUAGUGGAAUUCCUAGUGUAGGAGUGAAAUCCGUAGAUAUUGGGAGGAACACCGGUGGCGAAGGCGGCUACCUGGACCGAUAUUGACGCUGAGACGCGAAAGCGUGGGGAGCAAACAG